GACGAACGCUGGCGGCGUGCCUAAUACAUGCAAGUCGGGCGGACCGACCGAGGGCUUGCUCUUGUUUGGUUAGCGGCGGACGGGUGAGUAACACGUGGGCAACCUGCCUGCAAGACCGGGAUAACUUCGGGAAACCGGAGCUAAUACCGGAUAACACUGUAGACCGCAUGGUCCUCGGGUGAAAGGCGGCCUUUCGGCUGUUACUUGAGGAAUGGCCCGUGGCGGAUUUGCUAGUUGGUGAGGCAACGGGUCACCAAAGCGACGGUGCGUAGCCGGGCUUGGGGGGGGGCCCGGCACACUGGGACCUGGGCACGGGCCAGGCUCCUUCCGGGAGCAACAGUAGGGGAUCUUUCGGAAUGGGCGGAAGCCUGGCGGGGCGACGCCGGGUGGGCGGAGGAGGCCUUCGGGUCGUAAAACUCUGUUGAGUGGGGCGAAGGAGAGGCGUACGAAAAUGGGCGCACAGUGACGGUACCUAACGAGAAAGCCCCGGCUAACUACGUG
rnacentral:rRNA from 1 species